AGCUUCUUUCUGCCAAGAUGAGCUGCGGUAGUCCUUUUCCUCCCUCCCCUCCUUUCUUUCUUCCCUCGUUUCUUUUCUUUUUCUUCCAUGUCAUUACGGAGAAGGGCACUGGAGGCUUACUGAAGAGCUUUGAGAAAUAGCAUAGAAGGCCCAGAGCAUUACUUGUUUCCAGAUGAUCAAGCUAAGGCUGUACCCUGGCUAUGAAUAGCCCAGCCUCCUGUGGUGUCCAAGCCUGGAGAGAUUCUGUCUCAUUCACUCCUGGUAGACUGGUUAACCCGGCCACAGGCUCCUUUUGCCUUCAG
rnacentral:lncRNA from 1 species